GUCACUAAUUUCAUUUGGCCUUUCCAAGGCUGGAGCUGCUGGUCUGGGCACUUUCUCCAGCUUUUUUGGGGCUCCUCUGAGCAAGGUGCUUCAGCACCCACUUGGCUUCAGGUGGGAACAUUGUGAUGAUGUGGGGGAGCUGGUGGGCACUGAUAAUUCUGCUCUCAGCAUUUAAACCUCUCAUGGUGCUGCUACCCAUAAAGGAAAGUCUUGAUGCCAUCAAGUGUAACGAUACCAUUAAACUGAGUUGGGAAGCAUCGGGUAGACUUAAACUUAGAAUUAAUGCAAGAAUAUACAAAUACAGUCAGUCCAUGGCUCUGUCUAGCCCGACAUCCUCUACCCCACAGGAGAUGCUUUGAAAGAAUCUAAACACCAUUUGAUGUUUGACUCUGGGGAUGUCUCCUGCCGCAAGGAAUUCCAUGGCUCUUUCAUAUGUGGUGUGGAAAAAACGUACAUUUGGGGGGAAAGUUGAACCUGCCACCUCCUAGUUUUGUUUGGCAUCCAGUGUAUCUGGGCUCUAAGGGAUUGUGCUUUGUUUUUCAGAAACUUUAAUGGGUGAGAGGAAGCUGUGACUCAGCUGCUGAUGAAUCACUGCUGCUCCAGAUUACAUGUCUCUCUGCUUACUGGUGCCCCUCAAGCACAGGAUCUGAGUAAGCCCAUGCUGGAUAAACUCUUUUCAGAUCAUGGGAUAUAGGUCCGAGCCCAGGCCUAGGACCAUAUGGAAAUCAAAUCCCCACCUCCAGCCCCCGUUUUCCAUCCAUCCUUCCCAAAUUCCUUAUUUCCAUUUUCAGCUGAUUUGUUUACCUGUUUGCCCAAUUACACAGCUGGGAGCUUCACUCCUGCCUUCAUAACACCCAUCUGGUACCUAGGGCCUGUAUAUUGGGGUAUUUCUUAGUGAGGUGGGAUGGAAGGUGAUGCAAAGUGACUGCAAACUUUCUCCCACCUUUCUUCCUCAGCUGCUUGCUCUGCUCUCUGGCUGUGAUUUCUGUUUGCAGAUGCUAGCCUGACUUAAAGUAAGCAAUGGAAAACUCUGCUCCCGGAGAAACAUUCCUCUCAUUUUUCCCCCACGCUUCUGCCUUCUCCCCUCCCUCUCCCCCUCCCACAAAAAAAGCAUGCAGUUCAAACACCAAAAAUAAAGCAUGCCUGGUCGUGGGCUGGAUAAAAAUAGCAGCCCUUGGUAUUUACUGUAGCAGCAGCAAUGGGUUUUCCGGCUUCAGAGGAGAAUGGAGAAGCAGAAGUGGGAUGGGAUGGUGAUGCUUUGGUGGGGUGGAGGACAAGCACUGAGCUGGUGUUUUUAGGGGCUGGCAGGCUCCGUGACAGCUGUUUCAUCCCCUCUUCUCCCUCAGUUGGUGCAUACUGGGCUCUGUCCCCUCUGAGAAGGGGGAGUCCCAGGGGUGGGUUGGGGUCAGUUGUCCCAGUCCCACCCUUGUCCCACCUUUCAAUGUGCUGGUCUGCGGCUGCCUGGGGCUCAGUCCUGCAUGGGCAGUGAUGGGGGAAAGGCUGCUCUUAGGGGACAUGCCCCCAAACUGGUGAGGCUUUUGGAGGUGUCUCUUCCUCACCCAUCACCUGGGAGGCUUUGGGUGCAGCUGGCUUGCUGAGGUGGGUCUGGGUUUGCUGGAGCAUCCCUCCCUGGGGCGUGGGGGAAAGAAAUUGCUGGGGUAGGGAGAGAGGUGGGGUUCUCAGGUGCAUCGUCAAGUCCCGCUUGGUGUUUGUGUUGA